rnacentral:rRNA from 1 species
CAGUUCGGAUUGCAGGCUGCAACCCGCCUGCAUGAAGUUGGAAUUGCUAGUAAUCGCGGAUCAGCAUGCCGCGGUGAAUACGUUCCCUGGCCUUGUACACACCGCCCGUCACACCAUGGGAGCCGGUAAUACCCGAAGUCAGUAGCCUAACCGCAAGGGGGGCGCUGCCGAAGGUGGGUUCGAUAAUUGGGGUGAAGUCGUAACAAGGUAUC